UGCAAGUCGAACGCUGAUCCCUUUCGGGUGGGGAUGAGUGGCGAACGGGUGAGUAACACGUGCCUUUUCUGCCCUGACCUCUGGGAUAAGCCUUGGAAACGAGGUCUAAUACCCUUUAUCACAACUUCUCGCAUGGGAAGUUGUUGAAAGUUCUGGAGGUGCAGGAUGAACCCGCGGCCUAUCACCAUUGUUGGUGGGGUAAUGGCCUACUGAGGCGACGAUCAGGUAGCCGGCCUGAGAGGGUGACCGGCCACUCUGGCACUGAGACACGGCCCGGACUCCUACGGGAGGCAGCAGUGGGGAAUAUUGCACAAUGGGCGCAAGCCUGAUGGCCCUACGCCUUGUGAGGGAUGACGGCCUUCAAGUUGUAAACCUCUUUCGCCAGGGACGACCCGGCUUGACGGUACCUGGAUAAGAAGCACCGGCUAACUACGUGCCAGCUGCCGCGAAUCUACGUASGGUGCGAGCGUUGUCCRGACUUUAUUGGGUAUAAAGAGAUUGUAGGCGGUUUGUCGCCUCAGCCGCCAAAUCUCCACWCUAAACUKGAAGUGCGAUSUAUAUGGAAGCUGACUUGAGUUCAGUAGGGGAGAGUGGAAUUCCUGGUGUAGCGGUGAAAUGUACAUAUAUCACGGAGGAACACCUGUGGAGAARGCGKGUCUCUGGGCCGAUACUGACGCUGAGGAGAGAAAGCGUGGUSGAGCGACACAGAGAUUAUAUACCCUGGUAUUCCACGCUGUAAACGUUAGGCGCUAGGUGUGGGCGACAUCCACUUUGUCCGUGCAGUAGCUAACGCAUMAUUCGCCCCGCCUGGGGAGUACGGCAAGCAASGCUAACACUCAAAGGAAUUGAUGAGGGCCCGCACAAGCGGMGAAGCUUGUGGAUUAAUUCGAUGCAACGCGAAGAACCUUACCUGGGCUUGACAUGGUCCAGACAUCCCCAGAAAUGGGGCUUCCCUCUGGUUGGUGUACAGCAGGUGCAUCACGGUCGUCAUCAGGUGUCGUGAGAUGAUGGGUUAAGUACUGCAACGAGGACAACCAUUAUCGUCCGUAGCCAGCGCCAUAUGGCGGGGCAUUGUGGGAGACUGCCGGGGUCAAAUCGGAGGAAAAUGGGGAGGAGGUCACGUCUUCAUGCCCCCUAUGUCCAGGGGUUCACACACGUUACACAGGGUGGUACACAGGGGUGUGAUAACGGGAGGCCGAUCGAAAACCUUAAAACCGGUUUCAGUUUGGAUCGCAGUUUGCAAAUUGGAUCCCUGAAGUCGGGGAUGGUAGUAAAUGCAGGUCCGCAACGCCGCGGUGAAUACGUUCCCGGGCCUUGUACACACCGCCCGUCACGUCAUGAAAGUCGGUAACACCUGAAGCGCAUGGCCCAACCGCUAGGGGAG
rnacentral:rRNA from 1 species